rnacentral:rRNA from 1 species
GAUGAACGCUGGCGGCGUGCCUAAUACAUGCAAGUCGAGCGAACCACUUCGGUGGUGAGCGGCGAACGGGUGAGUAACACGUAGGUUAUCUGCCCAUCAGACGGGGACAACGAUUGGAAACGAUCGCUAAUACCGGAUAGGACGAAAGUUUAAAGGUGCUUCGGCACCACUGAUGGAUAAGCCUGCGGCGCAUUAGCUAGUUGGUAGGGUAAAGGCCUACCAAGGCGACGAUGCGUAGCCGACCUGAGAGGGUGAACGGGCACACUGGGACUGAGACACGGCCCAGACUCCUACGGGAGGCAGCAGUAGGGAAUCUUCGGCAAUGGGCGAAAGCCUGACCGAGCAACGCCGCGUGAAUGAUGAAGGCCUUCGGGUUGUAAAAUUCUGUUAUAAGGGAAGAAUGGCUCUAGUAGGAAAUGGCUAGAGUGUGACGGUACCUUAUGAGAAAGCCACGGCUAACUACGUGCCAGCAGCCGCCGUAA